UUGGAGGGCAAGUCUGGUGCCAGCAGCCGCGGUAAUUCCAGCUCCAAUAGCGUAUAUUAAAGUUGUUGCAGUUAAAAAGCUCGUAGUUGAACCUCGGGGUCUACCCAUUGGUCAGGCUUAAUUGUCUGCACUGGUGAGAUGGAUCUCUACCUUCUGAGGAACUUUCAUGCCAUUCAUUUGGUGUGAUGGGAAAUCAGGACUGUUACUUUGAAAAAAUUAGAGUGUUUAAAGCAGACUAUCGUCUGAAUACAUUAGCAUGGAAUAAUGAAAUAGGACGGACUGAUUCUAUUUCGUUGGUUUCUAAGAUCACCGUAAUGAUUAAUAGGGAUAGUUGGGGGCAUUAGUAUUCAAUUGUCAGAGGUGAAAUUCUUGGAUUUAUUGAAGACUAACUACUGCGAAAGCAUUUGCCAAGGAUGUUUUCAUUAAUCAAGAACGAAAGUUAGGGGAUCGAAGACGAUCAGAUACCGUCGUAGUCUUAACCAUAAACUAUGCCGACUAGGGAUCGGACGAAGUUAAUUUUAUAAUGACGCGUUCGGCGCCUUACGGGAAAC
rnacentral:rRNA from 1 species